AUGCGAAAAGGGUAUAAUAGUAAAAUUAUAAUAAACGAGGGUGUAAAUGUCUUUUUUGAAACGUUAAGGGGGUUUUUGUCCCUUUGCUUAAACGUUGGGGGUGUGUUUGUCCUUUUUUUUAUUUAAUUUAUAAUAAAUGUAAAUAAAGGAGUAGUUGAAAAUAAGGGUACUAUUGUAAACUUAUGCUGUCAUGAAGUUUUUAGCCAUUAUAAAAAUAACAGGGAGAUAAAUAGUAUAUGUUAAUUACUAUAGGGGGAAAGUGGCAAUCUCCCAACUCCAAUAAUUACAACUUUUGGCGUGCAUCAUUUGGAUUGAGCUAGGCAAUAAUGGUUUAUCAAAAGGAAAUCACGGCCCUACACUUUGGGCAUUCUGCAAGUGCUAGAUUUCAUGGAGCUUUUGGUAGUUGUUUGGAGUUGCUUUGGGCCUAUGUUUCAGCAAUAGUUGUGUUAUACAGGACAGGCCCGGGCAUUUUUCACAAAGAGCACUGCUUUUCAUACCUCAUUUUUGUAAUAUAGUUGUAUAACUAGAGAAAAUUACAUUAAAGGAUUAUUAUUAGUGAAAUUAAACUCUCUUAUAAUGAAAUCCAAUAAUGAUUCAUCAGUUGGCUCUUCCCAGACACAUUUAAAUGGAAGUAUAGUUUUUGACUUUACCAAAUUGAAAAAACAAGCCACUUGCCAACUGAAUUCAUUUGGCUAAACUUGGAGUUAGCUCAAGAAGAGGUCAAUGAGCCAUUGAUAGACUACAAGGAUUCAUUACUGGUGAUGGAAGAGCAAUGUUGAAGCCAUCAGGCUCAUUCGAGGAGCUUGUUUGAACCAUGGAUCCUUCCAAGUGAUCAACCAUGGUAUUGAUGCAAGUAUUAGUUUAUGAAGAAAUUGACUCCAUUUUCAAUAUUCCUCUUAGAACAAAAUUUCAUCAUUACAAGUAAUGACAGACCCAAGCAGUGACUACAAGGGGAUAGAGUCCUUCGAAUUAAAAGUUCUUCUUAAAUUCAAUUACUCAUUCAUCCAUGUAAUUAAUCUUAAUAUUAAUUAUAUUCAUUUAUGCCCCUAGUAAUUUCUUUAAAGAAGUCCCAAGUUAAACUCUGUCCUAUUAUGAAAGUACAAAAUAUCUACUUUCUUUAAAUCAUUACAAGAGUUGGCGACUAUGCAUUUAACUAAAUUAACGUUUACUUUUUGGAUUGGAGUGGGAAUCCUGAGAAGUGGGAAUCCUAGAAUUGGGAGUAUGUAGUGGGAGUGAGAGUAUGUUGUUUACUUACACUGAAAUGGAAGCAUGGAAUGGAGAUUAGAAUUCAAUUUAUGUGUUUACUUUUUCUUGGAUUUGGAGUAAAUAGUUUCAAAUUACAAUUUUAUCCUUAUUUAAAGAAUUAUAGUUUUUAAUUACAAAGUU
rnacentral:lncRNA from 1 species